rnacentral:lncRNA from 1 species
CUUUUCUAUUUUUAUAUAUUUAAAAAUAUAAAUUAUUCCUGUUAAAAUCAUUUGAAUAUGCUGAUUUGGAGCUCAGGACACACUUGGACACACCAAUUUAUACUUCUGCGUCGGGUGCACAUUGACGUGUACCAUACGUCGUACCCUUCGCCGUACCCUGACGCGCACCUCCUCAAAAAUGUAACUACGCGUCGCGACGACGCGGACUGCAAGAUCUGUGAUUGGUCGGCUUGGUAGUAUCACGUUUCCUCCUACGCAUUUCCGGAAUGAUCUUCUGCACUCUGGACUGCCCGCCAUUUUUAAAUUCCGAAAUUCAGUGAAGAGCCAACAUGGAAAUGGACCAAGUGACCGAGCGAUUAAUUAAAGAAGUGAGGAAAUACAGCCAGCAUGAUCCGCUCUCUUUCAGUCGCCAUUGUUCGUAGAAGCCCGCGAGGAUCGAGGAAUGUAAACACAGUGGAACCCGCUCGCGUCAACUAGCGUUUCGGCGGUGAAACUGCAGAGCAAAACAGACAUACGCAGAAGUAUAAAUGCUUACGACGGCGUCGCCUACGUGCGUAGCCUACGACGUACACUACGCCGUACACUCGACGCAGAAGUAUAAAUUGGCCUUAUUAUCAGUGUUAAAAACAGUUACAGGUCAGCUGAAUUCAUAUGCAACUCAUGAAGUCAACCAGCGCCAAUUCUUCAAUUCAGAUUUGGAACAACCCUGGUAAGAAGCAUAGGGGGAAAAAAAAACACUGGACUCGAAAGGGCAGAGUCCAUUUUCAAGAUUUCCUCCAAGGAUGCAGUGAAAGUGUGCGGGGGGUUGUGUAUCUGUGCUACAGUGCGGCGGUGUGUGCUUGCUGAGAAUUGAGUGUGAUUGCACCAUCCCUCGUGUAAACAACCAACUCUGAAAGCCCUUCCUGUGAUUGACACCACUGGAAAUGCCAAGCAGAGGUGUCUUUUGUCUGCCUUCCCUUACUUUCAGCAAACACCAGCACUCCGGGCUGGAAAUGAUCUCCACACAUAAGGAUAACAGCAGCUGUCUCUGACAGGCAAGUAUUUCUUGCUACUCGAACCAGCCAUUUGAUAGCAGGUUGUAGAUUAUUUCGAAAACAUGUUGAUGGUAUUCUGUUCUUGUUUCUUUUUUGGUGGUUGAUUCCUGGUUUUAUAGGAAUAGUCCACCCCUUUACUUGGCAUAUCAACUUGUGUCGAUUCAAACCCAAAUUACUUAUACUUUCUUCUGUAGAAUUCAGCUGGAGGAGCUUUGAUGAAUGUUUCAGCUGUUCUCUUACAAACAAAGAAAGUGAAAGAGGGGUUGUCAAGUUCCAAAAGGAAUCAUAAAAGCUGUUUAUACAGCAUAUGACAUUUAUUAUUGAAUAUUUAUUUAUUUAUAAGAAGAAGAAGAAGAAGAAAGUCCCCAUUCACAGUCAUUGUAUGAAAAAAAAAUAAAAAAUAGGAUUAAUAGAAAGAAAGCCAACCAGUUUGGAAUGACAUGAUAGUAAAUAAUAAAUUUUAUUUACAAUGGUUUUGGCCAAAUUACAUUUUUAAAUUUUGACUAGUGCAUUGUGGUAUGCAUAUGCCAUAUAAAUAAAAUAAAUAUAAUUUUUAAUAAUAUGCUGUCUCAUUAAAACCUUUUUUUUUUGUUUUUAGCUUCACUAAACUAAAUUAGAGGCCUAUUUAAUAAAAUUAAUUUGGGUGUACUGUAGACAUAUUUUGUUUUCAUUGUCACCGGUAACCCAGCAAAAUGGUAAUAUUCAAAGCACAAACACGUAAAACUGCAGGUCAUAUGCAAAUUAUAAGGACUAAGGGCCUCAGAUACUCACAGCAGAACUAAAGGAACAGGACUGCAAAGAGUAUAAUUGGGCCCGUUGGACUUGCUUCUGGGCACUGUUUCCAACCUAGCUCACAAAUGGCCUGAGGCGAGUGCUUACCUGUGCAUAAUUUGAAAAGCAUUAUGAGCAAAGGAUUGGACUCUAUAGGUUUAUGUCUCCAUUCGUUACUUGUAGUUGUUAGUUUAACAUGCAAACGGUGUAGCUGCUUUCUCCAUAUGUGCAUGUGGAUAAUGGAAAGACUUCUUUCCAGCAAUCACAGUGAUUAAGACAUUACAAUGUGAAAGCAGCAACUGAAGACCUUAUUACCACUGAAAGAGUUGUGUGUGCUGGUGAAUGUGGCAUGGCUGGGCAUAUAAUUAGAAUGUUCCAUCUGGCCAGGAUAGCAAGAUUGUUGUCGUAACGUGUCUAUCAAAAAGCAUGUAGGUGUCACCUAUUUUUUUCCCCCAUUUACUUACAGCCUGGCUUUCAUACAUUUGAUUGUGUAGGAAAGAUCUUGUUCAUAUCUUGUUUGUUCUUGUUUUUCCUAGACAGCAUUGAAAUUAACUGGAAAGCAAAUGGAGACUUUGCUUAGCUGUCCUGCUUUUUAUAUUUUCUCUCAUGGGAAAGACCCUGAUAUUACAAUAAAAUCUACAAUCAGUCUUUUUACCAUAAAAGUCAACAAUCAGUCUUUAUAAUAUGUACUCAAACAUUAUUAAAGUUAAAACGUUUAGGAGUAGUAAUUUGUUUUUGUUUGAAAUAAGUUUCAG